CACAGAGGGCAGACCCCAGAAGAUGCUGCUUCUCCUGGUUGGCUGUCUCUUGCCUGCCAUCAAUGGGAAGAGCUGCCUCCACUGCUGGCCACAACUGCCUGCAUUGAUGGACUAUGACCUGCAGAUUCUUUGGGGCUCCCCAGGGCCACCCAGAGAGCUCUCCCAAAGCCUCCGCUCCCUAUUCUUGAAAAGGGAUUAUGUCUUCUUAGAACCCUGGUAUCUUGAUCAUGACCAUAUGGAGGAAGCAACAGCCAAAUUAUUCAAUCACGUAGAUAAAGCCAUCAAGAAGUUUCGAGAUGAUAAACCAUCGCUUCUGGAAGAGAUUAAUGUCCAGAAACAGGUGUUUACUGACAGGCUGAAUCAGAUGUCUGAGAAGCUGAAGGAGAAGGCCUGCAAUAAGUCUUGUGACAUACACUCCACACUGGAGGUCAUCAAUUGUGCCAACUGCAAGACACACCUUCUUACCUGCAAAGACCCAACUCUCUGCCCAGCCAGGACCUGGAGUACCUUCCCGUGGGUUGUGAGCCUUGGCAUUAUUCUGCUUCUGGCCGCCAUAGCUGGAAGUGGAUGGUACAUUUUCUGCCACAAGAAGAGGAGGAGGGAAGCAGAAAAUGAGCUGGGAAUGGAGACCCCUGACAGAAUGUAGGUCUCCCAAGGAGGGAAAGCUGGGGGUAGCAAGGCUGGAGGCCCUAAUUCUGGCUCCCAGGGUGUGACAUCCAGAGCAGAGCGGGAUCAAGGCUGGCUCGGAAGGCCCCAUCCCCCCUUAAUGAACCGGGCAGUCCACUGGUCUGAACCAAGAUCGCAGUUGCUGUCAGGAGGCUCCCUGAUCUCUGAGUUCCAGUAACUGUCCCUUCCUUAACACCCUCC